CACCAACUGAGAUCAAGGCUCCAUUGUGCUAGGCACUGCACAAACAAACAGGCCAUGACUUGAAGAGCUCACGAUCUAAAUAGCUGCAAAUUGGCAAGAAUGGAAUGAGAGAGAUUUUAAACUUUGGUUGAGAAACGUCUAUUUAUGCAAACAGAAUCCAUCUUGUGGAUUUUUCCAGGGAAAUGAUCAUCUAAUCUAAAUGAUGCAAGGAACUCCAGCUAUCCAUUGCAUAGACCCAAAUGGCCAGACAGCACAGCUAAGCGGCGUCUGAACAAUACGUCAACAGGCCUCUUUUCUCCCUCCCCAUGCAGAGUGACUAAUUCAAAAAAAGAUGUCAAAGACACUCCUGAAACAGGAAAUGAUGGCUUGUUAUGGCACCUUCAGGAGAAACAAACGAAAUAAUUAGUCUAGGAAGGAUUAGAUUUUUAUUGGCAAAUGUCAGUAAACGUCGGUUUCACUAUAGGCAUACAAACCAGUGGGAAAGAAAUUCCAUAGAUAAUCAUUGAAAUUUACAAAUAGGCAUAGUAAGAAAAAUGCUGCUUGAGAACUUAUUAACAUUUGAUUUAAGGAUACUCUGAAUAUUUUGACAUGUGCUGUUAACAAUUUUUGCUUCACUGCUUAUAAAGCUUUACUAUUUUGAA